UACGUAGGGACCAAGCGUUGUCCGGAAUCAUUGGGCGUAAAGAGCGUGUAGGCGGCUUGUUAAGUCUUGCGUGAAAUCUCGGGGCUCAACCCCGAGCGGUCGUGAGAAACUGGCAGGCUAGAGUGCGGGAGAGGAGAGUGGAAUUCCUGGUGUAGCGGUGAAAUGCGCAGAUAUCAGGAGGAACACCGGUGGCGAAGGCGGAUCUCUGGGCCGAUACUGACGCUGAGGAGCGAAAGCGUGGGGAGCGAACAGG
rnacentral:rRNA from 1 species